rnacentral:rRNA from 1 species
GAUGAACGCUGGCGGCGUGCCUAAUACAUGCAAGUCGAGCGAAUGGAUUAAGAGCUUGCUCUUAUGAAGUUAGCGGCGGACGGGUGAGUAACACGUGGGUAACCUGCCCAUAAGACUGGGAUAACUCCGGGAAACCGGGGCUAAUACCGGAUAACAUUUUGAACCGCAUGGUUCGAAAUUGAAAGGCGGCUUCGGCUGUCACUUAUGGAUGGACCGGCGUCGCAUUAGCUAGUUGGUGAGGGAACGGCUCACCAAGGCAACGAUGCGUAGCCGACCUGAGAGGGUGAACGGCCACACUGGGACUGAGACACGGCCCAGACUCCUACGGGAGGCAGCAGUAGGGAAUCUUCCGCAAUGGACGAAAGUCUGACGGAGCAACGCCGCGUGAGUGAUGAAGGCUUUCGGGUCGUAAAACUCUGUUGUUAGGGAAGAACAAGUGCUAGUUGAAUAAGCUGGCACCUUGACGGUACCUAACCAGAAAGCCACGGCUAACUACGUGCCAGCCGCCGCAGUAA